rnacentral:rRNA from 1 species
UACAGAGGUGCCGAGCGUUAGGCGGAAUCACUGGGCUUAAAGCGCGUGUAGGCGGGUCGGUAAGUGUCUUGUGAAAUCCCACGGCUCAACCGUGGAACUGCUGGGCAUACUGCCGAUCUUGAGGCACUCAGGGGCUGUCGGAACAAAUGGUGGAGCGGUGAAAUGCGUAGAUAUCAUUUGGAACGCCAAUGGUGAAAACAGACAGCUGGGGGUGUCCUGACGCUGAGACGGCGAAAAGCCAGGGGAGCAAACGGG